rnacentral:rRNA from 1 species
UACGGAGGAUGCGAGCGUUAUCCGGAUUUAUUGGGUUUAAAGGGUGCGCAGGCGGCACGGCAAGCCGGCGGUCAAAUCGCGGGGCUCAACCCCGCCCAGCCGUCGGAACUGCCGGGCUAGAGUGGGCGAGAAGUGCGCGGAAUGCGUGGUGUAGCGGUGAAAUGCAUAGAUAUCACGCAGAACUCCGAUUGCGAAGGCAGCGCACCGGCGCCCUACUGACGCUGAAGCACGAAGGCGUGGGUAUCGAACAGG